rnacentral:piRNA from 1 species
AGCUGCUGGAGACGAUGUUGUGGCUUGUGG